ensembl:snRNA U6 U6 spliceosomal RNA
CUGCUUUGGCAGCAUAUACACUAAAACUGGAACAAUAGAGAUUAGCGUGGCCCUUGAGCAACGAUGACACACAAAUUCAUGAUGCAUUCCAUAUUUUG